GGUACAUUUUUUAAACUUUCAAGUUUCAAUGUUCCAUAGAUCUAGAACAACUACCUUUCCUUUUGUAAAAAAAUUUUUCAGGGAUUUUUUCGUUAUGUCUACCGUUGGUGCUGAUAUGAUUUUUAUUACUUGGCCGAGGAGGAUUCAACAUUUUUAUCCAUUCUUCACACGAGGUAGAAGCAGAUCUCGGUUUACUGCUCCAGAUUCUUGUGAACCAACGGUUAAGCGAGUGUAGGUUACAGAAUGAGUUAUGUUUGUACAUGCACUUUUUUUUGUUCUUAUAUAUGAUUUAGUUUCUUUCGUCCUUGUCCUGAAACUUUCUGUAAUGUUCCACUCUCAGGAAAGCUUCCACUGAAAGGAGAGAAGUAUUCUUUGAGGCUAUGUCUGACAAAGUAGCAGAUAGUUCUUCUGAGAGAACGACUAGUCCUUUAGAAUCAGACAGCGACGCAUUUUAUAAAAAUCUUGAUCCCCUCUUUUCUGUAUUACAUUUUUGUAAGUUGUUAAGUUCAAAAAAAAUCAAGAAGAAGAGUUAAAAGAUUAAAUUGAAUUCUGCAGGGUAAACCAGAUUAAACCAGAAGAUGUGGUUGCCCAGCGAGGAUGAGGCUGCUGAAAUGUGCUACUGGGAAAAAUGGUGCAAAACGACGUACAGUGUGAUUCUUGAUAACACAUGUCAGAGUUAAAUGAGGGGAACAACCAUGGGAAGGAAUGGAUCAAGCUAAAACAAGAACUAUGGUUCAGAUCGAAGCCUUACCCUAACAUCUUGGGCUCCUCGCUGCUCCACGACCUCGCCGCCAACAAGCUAGCGGCCCCUCACCCCGCCGCAUACCGGCUAGAAACACAACGGCGACGAGGUGCACUAGCGCCCAACCUGAGACUGCGCUGCCGCUCAGUGCGACGAGCCGAAUCCACAGUGUACUAGAAACCCUAGCCCUCAAUGGGGAAAGCUGAAAUGUUUUGGAGAGAGAGGAGAGUCAAAUGUUCAGCCUUGGCUUCUGCUAUAAUAGAGGGACUGAAAGCAUUUUGGCACAUAACAUAGGGACAUUUUUGCAUAAACAACCAACAAUGUGGGAAGUGUUUCGAUCUGAGCAGUACACUUUUCAUCCGACGGUCCACAUUGAAGAUUGCAUUUCUCCCACCGAAUAG